UCGAUAACCCCCGAUAUAUCUAACCCCAUUUUGCAAAUCAGCCUGUAUACCUCCGUCGUAAGCUUACCAUAUGAAUGCUAACAGUAAGUUUAAUGGUCUCAACACCAACACGUCAGGUCAAGGUGCAGCUUAUGAUGGGGCAAGCAAUGGGCUACAGUUUCUAAAAUAGAAUACACGAAAUGCUGCAUGAAACACAGCAUGAAGGUGGAUUUAGUAGUAAAAAUGAAAUAACGUGUCCUUUUUAACAAGGCCCUGGGACGUGUACACACCGCCCGUCACCCUCUUCAACAGUUUUUAACAUGUCUAUUACAACUCAACACACCCUAGAAGAGGCAAGUCGUAACAUGGUAAGUGUACCGGAAGGUGCACUUGGACUA
rnacentral:rRNA from 1 species